CAGUAGCCGCGGGAACACGUAGGGUGCGAGCGUUAAUCGGAAUUACUGGGCGUAAAGCGUGCGCAGGCGGUGAUGUAAGACAGUUGUGAAAUCCCCGGGCUCAACCUGGGAACUGCAUCUGUGACUGCAUCGCUGGAGUGCGGCAGAGGGGGAUGGAAUUCCGCGUGUAGCAGUGAAAUGCGUAGAUAUGCGGAGGAACACCGAUGGCGAAGGCAAUCCCCUGGGCCCGCACUGACGCUCAUGCACGAAAGCGUGGGGAGCAAACAGGAUUAGAUACCCCCGUAGUCCCUGUCUCUUAUAC
rnacentral:rRNA from 1 species